AUUUACAAUAGAUUUACACCCACAACCGAACCAUAGCACAUGCAAAACUGUCCGUAGCUCGUCGGGUGGGUUCGGAUUGGACGGUUUGCCGGGUCUCCAGGUUAAAGAAGAACAAGUGCAACUUCAAAUGCAAUGGUAAAACCUUAGGUAAUUGAUAUAUUUGCAUCAGGAGUAAAACAGUUGUUUAAGUAGAUCAUAUAAUACCAUGUGAAAUGGUAGUAGAUAGGUAUUUGUCAAUCAUUUUGAUAAUGAGAAAUUUUGAAGACUUUUUUGAUGUGAUUUGUGUUAGUGGAAUGAUCAUUUGGUACUGGUAGUGAUAUCAAGAAAUUUAUCAAAGUGAUAAAUGUUGGGGAUAUUUUGGCUUU